CCUUCACCUCCAGGUCAAAUUUGACAAUCUCUUGGUUACAGAUCCGGACGUGGACAUCUUGGGGAGCCGCCAUGUUGAGGACGGACGCCGGCUACGGGCAGCGGCAGGGCCCAAGUUCAAACGCGUUUUCGCACCACCUUCUUUCCCUCCCCGCCUAGUCUCGGGGCAGCGCCCCCUAGAGACCGGCGAAAAUGGCAUGCGAGGGUCCCUGCUUAGAGUUGGAAAUUUACCCGACACGUGGAGGGAAAUCAGCCUCCCCUCUUAGUAUGACCCUAAUAACACGGAGAGGAGGAGAAGAGGGAAUAUCAAGAACGCUUCACAGUGAUCUCUUUCCAACUUCCUUCUGUCAGGCAUUCUAAUAACUACGUAUUUUUUGCAUAGAAAAAACAAAGAUGGGAAGAAAAGUAUCCAUUGGGAUGUCUCUGGAAAGUACAAGUAACACUUUUUUUGUUUCCUUAAACUUUCUUAUAUUUUUAAUAUUUUCUACAGUGAGUAUAAAUUGUGGAGUAAAAGAGAAAAUGAUAAACGUUAUAUGCUUUUUAAAGUAUGGAGUUCAAGGCAGGUCAGUAGAGUUCCUCCUAUCACUCCAACAGGAUUUGAGGGAUCUUUGUAAAACGUGAAAUUGAUCAAGUCACCUCCCUGUAUGCAGCCUUUCUAUGGCUGCUGAUGAUUCUCUUUUGUAUACCCUCAACAAAUGGUGACUCCUUUAUUUUUGUUAGUAAAUAAUCCAAGUUUCUUAGCUGGUUCUCAAGGCCAUCAGCCACCCCGGCCACCAGCCACCCCAUCCUGCAGGCACCCUUCCUGGAUUCCUCAAGCUUUCUGGAUGUGUAGCCUUAGAAUGUGGUGUUCCCUUUCCCUAGAAUGCUUUUCCCCACUCGACCGCCCUCCAUCUGCUUUUGUUCAUGUCACUUCGGCAAGUAUAGAUUGUGAAGAACUGAAUGCCCAGGAGCUGCAUGUUCAUCUCUCUUAAUCCUCACAACCAUCCUUGAAAUUGUCCUACCCUAGUAUUAUAGAUCAGGAGAUGGGCUGAAAGCAGAUUAAAACAAAAGAAAACAAAACCAACCCUGCCCCAAGAUUACCCACCCUGAAAGUGUCACGGCCUCUACUGAAAGCCAUCUUUUCCCCAAAAAAUCAACAUGGCCCCCACUUGUUGUUAGCGGGGCUCUGUGCUUGGGUGUUCCUACAGCCCUCUCCAUACCCUCUCGUAAGGUGCUCAUCACUCCACCGCACCUAAUAGAGAGGCAGUGUAUCACAGGAUUCACAUCUGCCCUAGCUCAAAUCCUGUCCACGGUAUACUUUGCAUGCCUGUGCCUGUCUCCUCAGAGGCUAACUGGUGGUAAUCAAUAGCACCUUCACAGGCUGGAGGAUUAAGUAAUACAUGAAAAGCACCAAGCACGGUGUGCUAAUGUGGCAUGUGGUAAGAUCUCAAUGCCCGUUAGCUGCUAUUAUUCUACUACUAGCCAACAUUUUGGGAGCCCGUCUUAUGUGCCAGGAGCUGUGUACUAAGUGCUUCACGUGUGUCUCGUUUAACUCUCCCAACUCUGUGAGGUACAAACAGGACAGAGAAGAAUAAUGACUUGCCCAGAGCAAAUGGAGUUGCUAGGUCAAAGGACAUAUGCGUUUUAAAAUUCUUACGUACUGGUGCAUCACAACCAGGGUGCCCGCCCAGCUCGUCCAGCUCGCCUGCCCGUCCGUCCCCGCGGCGGCAGCGGCUGCCCAGUGACAGCGGCGGCGGUGCCAGGCCGGCCGUGGUAGCCUAGGGUUGCACGGCUCGGAAACGCAGAGCCGGCCGAAGAGCGGCGCGAUGAGUGGAAGGCCGAGCCCGGGCCGCGCGCGAAGAGACCUCGCGGGCGGGGAGCAAAAGGCCGACGGGAGUGAGCGCGGGGACAGUGGCUGCAGGCGGCCCAACCCGUCCGUCCCCUCGGCCGCCGCCGGCCUGAGCCACAACCAGAUCCCGCCGGGGCUCACGGAGCUACUGCAGGGCUACACCGCGGAGGUGCUGCGACAGCAGCCGCCCGACCUCGUGGAAUUCGCAGUGGGCCACUUCACCCGCCUGCGCGAGGCCCGCGCCCGUGCCUCAGCCCUGCCCGCCGCCACCCCACGCCAGAGCCCGGGCCACACCGCGCCAGAACCCGGCCCGGACCACGUCCCCGACGCCAACGGGGACAGCGAGGCGGAGGAGGACGAGGACUUGGACGUUCCUAGCACAUUUAAUAGACGAGUAACAGUCUGUGCUGAGACCUAUAACCCUGAUGAGAAAGAGGAAGAUACCGAUCCAAGGGUGAUUUCAUCCUAAAACCGAUGAACAGAGACGCAGACUUACAGGAAACUUGCAAAGAUAUUCUCCCUGUCAAAAAUCUUGAUCAGGAACAGCUUUCUCAAGUUCUUGAUGCCAUGUUUGAAAGGAUAGUCAAAGCUGGUGAGCAUGUCAUUGACCAAGGAGAUGAUGGAGACAACUUUUAUGUCAUAGAAUGGGGAACUUAGGACAUUUUAGUAACAGAAGAUAAUCAAACCCGCUCUGUCGGUCAGUAUGACAACCACGGCAGUUUUGGAGAACUAGCUCUGAUGCACAACACCUCCAGAGCUGCUACCAUUGUUGCAACCUCAGAAGGCUCCCUUUGGGGACUGGACCGGGUGACUUUUAGAAGAAUCAUAGUGAAAAAUAAUGCAAAGAAGAGGAAGACGUUUGAAUCAUUUAUUGAGUCUGUGCCCUUCCUUAAAUCACUGGAUUUGUCAGAACGAAUGAAGAUUGUGAAUGUAAUAGGAGAUAAGAUCUAUAAGGAUGGAGAACGCAUAAUCACUCAGGGUGAAAAGGCUGGUAGCUUUUACAUCAUAGAGUCUGGUGAAGUGAGCAUUUUGAUUAGAAGCAAGACUAAAUCAAACAAGGAUGGUGGAAACCAGGAGGUCCAGAUUGCCCGUUGCUUUAAGGGGCAGUACUUUGGAGAGCUUGCCCUGGUCACCAACAAACCCAGAGCUGCUUCAGCUUACGCAGUUGGAGAUGUCAAAUGCUUAGUUAUGAAUGUACAAGCAUUUGAGAGGCUUCUGGGGCCCUGCAUGGACAUCAUGAAAAGGAACAUCUCACACUAUGAGGAAAAGCUGGUGAAGAUGUUUGGCUCCAGCAUGGAUUUGGGCAACCGCGGGCAGUAGCAUGGGGAAUCAAAGGUGGCAGACCAAGUUCAACUCAGGGCUGAGGUAUCCACAUUGUCCACAUCAGGCAAGCCCUGCACUGAUGGUUGAGCCUCAUGGAGAGGAGCAUGUGUUGGGAAGAGAUCCCUUUGUUAACUAUUUUAUGUUCUCUUCAAUGAGUUAGUGCUCAUACCCCAUUUCUGGCUUUGCUGUUGAUUUUGGAUGGUAGAGAAUAUUCCUGAGACCCUUCCUUUUGGCCCCCAGCAUAUCCCACCCACUCUCUUCUCUUGGUUGAAUUCUCUGAAGAAAAGGUACAUGUGCUUUUGUCCUUUUAGUCAAUAGUCUUCAUAUAUAAUUGUGUUACAUAUAUUGCGGUAGACUGUCAGAAAUCCGGGGAGAGCUUUCCCUUUGAACAGUUUAAUGAGUGAAUUCAGCAGCAAAGUGACAAGAAAUGGUUAUCCAGCUAGGAGAGGUUAUGUUUAUCCUCUAAUUGCCCAUUUUCUCUGUGCACAGUGAUAUUGUAUUCAGUGAGAGGUGCUGUUAGCACCUGUGUCACAGUGUACAACCUUCUCUCAUUUAGAAAAAAGAGCAUUUUACACAGAGAAAAAGUAAGAAGACUCAUGAAUGUCAUCUUCUAUCUUUUCUUUUCAGUUGGCUGAUGUUUGAAUUUUUGUUCUUGUCAUGCACUUGUAAACCAAUCUUGCCAAGAUAUGAGUUGUUUUGGUUUUUCACUGUGAUUACCUCUUGUUCCUCCUGUCUUGACUGCUGGCGUUCCUCAAUUCUUCUAUUGUCUAUUUUAUGGGAAGCAGCCUUCCCAUAGGUUUCCUUUUACACACUGCAGGGCUAUCUUUACACUUAAAAAAAAAAAAAAAAAAAAGGACAAGAACAGUCACUAACCUCAUGGGGGCUUUCAUAAAACCAUUUAGCCCACCUUGAGCAAAGGGUAGAUUCCGUGUUUUUUUUUUUAAGCUCACUGUAAUAAAAGAAAUCUGAUUCAGCAUUAUUGUGCUACCUCAACGGUAAAAAAUGUUUUAAGGUCUUCUUUUGGUCCUAAGUUCUACAUAUAGGGUUUGAAAUGUCUUUCAAUUGGAAUUAUUUUUUAAAUCAUUGGGGUGAAUUUUAUUUUAACCUGUUUUAAACUUGUAUUUUAAUCUCAGAAUAAUAAGUGAUUGAAAAGAGAUCAAUUCUUGCUCUGUAGUGUUAAAAAUAUAAUGAACAGUCAUUAAGUAUUAAGUCUGUUUGCCAUAAAUAAGGUUGAUGUUCUUUUUGUUUUUGUUAAGGAAACUCUAGGGCUUGGCUUUACUCUUGAUUAAUAAAGGCUGACAAAUCAUGUCUGA